rnacentral:rRNA from 1 species
UACGUAGGGUGCGAGCGUUGUCCGGAAUUAUUGGGCGUAAAGAGCUUGUAGGCGGUUUGUCGCGUCUGCUGUGAAAAUCCGGGGCUUAACCCCGGACCUGCAGUGGGUACGGGCAGACUAGAGUGUGGUAGGGGGAGACUGGAAUUCCUGGUGUAGCGGUGAAAUGCGCAGAUAUCAGGAGGAACACCGAUGGCGAAGGCAGGUCUCUGGGCCACUACUGACGCUGAGACGCGAAAGCGUGGGGAGCGAACAGG